rnacentral:tRNA from 1 species
GGCGGAUGUAGCCAAGUGGGCAAGGCAGUGGAUUGUGAAUC